ACGAACGCUGGCGGCGUGCUUCACACAUGCAAGUCGAACGGAAAGGCCCUGCUUUUGUGGGGUGCUCGAGUGGCGAACGGGUGAGUAACACGUGAGUAACCUGCCCUUGGCUUUGGGAUAACUUCAGGAAACUGGGGCUAAUACCGGAUAGGAGCUCCUGCUGCAUGGUGGGGGUUGGAAAGUUUCGGCGGUUGGGGAUGGACUCGCGGCUUAUCAGCUUGUUGGUGGGGUAGUGGCUUACCAAGGCUUUGACGGGUAGCCGGCCUGAGAGGGUGACCGGCGACAUUGGGACAGAGAGAAGGCCCAGAGUCAUGCGGGAGGCAGGAGGGGGGAAGGGUGCGCACUGUGCGGGGGCCGGAAGCAGCAGCGCCGGGUGCGGGAUGGGGGGGGGCGGUGUGUAAACAGGAUUCGCCUGUUACGAAGCGGGAGGGACGGUAAGGGGUAAAGAGGCACCGGCUAGCUACGUG
rnacentral:rRNA from 1 species